CCACGACGUCUCUGUGCUUGGAUACGAGUCCUGCAUAGCGGCUUCUACUGUUAAAGAGAUGCCAAAUCCAUGACUGAUUUGAAUUUCACCGACUGUCGUGCGAAGUUUGGGAGAAAUAUCGGCUUAAGUGUGAUAGCGCACAUAGUGGCGUACUGACUUGAAAAGAUCAGCCGUCUCCGGCUGAUGCCUGUCUGUAGUUAAUUUGACGAACUCAUCUACAUGCUCUCAGACACGAACAGUUCAAUUAUGUGAGCCUCAUCAUUCAAGGUCUGUACACCGUAGUGGAAGGGUCAUCAUUGUGAAGUGCCACCAGGGAUCAGACAAUGUCUCUGGACAGAAUAAAAG